CAAAGUUAGUGCACUUCUCCAAGUCCUUUGCCAUCAAUUCCUCUUCAAUCUUUAGAGAAGGCAAAAAUGAUUCUGUGGCUAAAGAUGUUGUCUAUACUAGCGGUCCUCAGAGGUGCCUGUUCCCAGGCCCUGUUGGUGGAGUCUGGAGGAGAUGUGAAAAGACCUGGAGAGUCCCUCCGUCUCUCCUGCCAAGCCUCUGGCUUCACCUUCAGUGACUACGGGAUGAACUGGUUUAGAAAGGCUCCGGGAAAAGACCUGGAAUGGCUUUCACAUAUCUUUGCUGAUUCCCGUGAAAGGUUCUACUCAAACAAAGUGAAGGGACGCUUCACCAUCUCCAAGGACAACGCCAAAAGCCAGCUGUAUUUUCAAAUGAACAACCUCAAACCAGAGGAUACGGCAGUCUAUUAUUGUACGAGACACACAGUGAGAGGAACCAAAGCAAAAACUUCCCAUUUACAUAACAGGGCUGAGAAUUUCUUUGAAACCUUAUAA